rnacentral:rRNA from 1 species
AGAGUUUGAUCCUGGCUCAGGACGAACGCUGGCGGCGUGCCUAACACAUGCAAGUCGAGCGAUGAAACCCUUCGGGGUGGAUUAGCGGCGGACGGGUGAGUAACACGUGGGUAACCUGCCUCAAAGAGGGGGAUAGCCUUCCGAAAGGGAGAUUAAUACCGCAUAACAUUAGUUUUUCGCAUGAGGAACUAAUUAAAGGAGUAAUCCGCUUUGAGAUGGACCCGCGGCGCAUUAGCUAGUUGGUGAGGUAAAGGCUCACCAAGGCGACGAUGCGUAGCCGACCUGAGAGGGUGAUCGGCCACAUUGGAACUGAGAUACGGUCCAGACUCCUACGGGAGGCAGCAGUGGGGAAUAUUGCACAAUGGGCGAAAGCCUGAUGCAGCAACGCCGCGUGAGUGAUGAAGGCCUUCGGGUUGUAAAGCUCUGUCUUUGGGGACGAUAAUGACGGUACCCAAGGAGGAAGCCACGGCUAACUACGUGCCAGCAGCCGCGAUAAUACGUAGGUGGCAAGCGUUGUCCGGAUUUACUGGGCGUAAAGGAUGCGUAGGCGGAUAUUUAAGUGAGAUGUGAAAUUCCCGGGCUUAACUUGGGAGCUGCAUUUCAAACUGGAUAUCUAGAGUGUGGGAGAGGAGAAUGGAAUUCCUAGUGUAGCGGUGAAAUGCGUAGAGAUUAGGAAGAACACCAGUGGCGAAGGCGAUUCUCUGGACCAUAACUGACGCUGAGGCAUGAAAGCGUGGGUAGCAAACAGGAUUAGAUACCCUGGUAGUCCACGCCGUAAACGAUGAGUACUAGGUGUAGGGGGGUCCACCCUCUGUGCCGCAGUUAACACAAUAAGUACUCCGCCUGGGAAGUACGAUCGCAAGAUUAAA